rnacentral:lncRNA from 1 species
GCCUUUCGUUAUUUUUUAUUCUGAGACAGGGUCUUGCUAACUUGUUUAGGGUCUCCCUAAAUUGCUGAGGCUGGCUUUGAACUCAAGAUCCUCUGCCUCAGUCUCUCCAGCCGUUGGGAUCACAGGUGUGUGCCACCGCACCCGACUUUCAUUUUUUAAAAAUCUUUUUCUUAUUGUUUAUGGGAGCUCCUGAUAGAUCAAGGGAUUCAGUCCUGCUGUAAUGAGUUGAGUUGUGGACAUUUUUUCAGGUGGUCAGUUGUCUUGUGACUUUACUUUUUGUUAGUUGGGGUCAGUUUUUGCCAUGCAGAUGUUUGUUUUUGAACUGUAGAUGAAUUCUUGGCUUCUAGGUCGAUAGUGUUUUUUGUUUUUUUGUAGUUGUAUAUGGGCCGCGUGCCUAUAUUGUGUUUGUCUAUGUUUUUAAUGUGGUGCUAAGGGUCGAAUGCAGCGCCUUACAUGUGCUAGGCAAGCACUCUGCCACUGAGCUACAGCCCCGGCCCAGUUAAUAGGUUCUAAAAUAUUCUCCGUUUCCUUCUGGUGCUUUAAAGUAUUAUUAUUAUUUUUAAUGUUGUUGUUGCUGUUACUAUUUUGUAUGGGGGAUUGAACCCAGGGAUGCUCUACCACUGAGCUCCAUCCCCAACCCUUUUUAUGGUGAGACGGGUUUCCCAGGCUGGC